rnacentral:rRNA from 1 species
UUGACCUCAAAUCGGGUGAGACUACCCGCUGAACUUAAGCAUAUCAAUAAGCGAG